CCUACGUGAGGCAGCAGUGAGGAAUAUUGGUCAAUGGGCUUACGCCUGAACCAGCCAAGUCGCGUGAGGGAAGACUGCCCUAUGGGUUGUAAACCUCUUUUGUCAGGGAGCAACGCCGGCUACGUGUAGCCGGACUGAGAGUACCUGAAGAAAAGGCAUCGGCUAACUCCGUGCCAGCAGCCGCGGUAAUACGGAGGAUGCGAGCGUUAUCCGGAUUUAUUGGGUUUAAAGGGUGCGUAGGCGGAAUGCCAAGUCAGCGGUAAAAUCGCGGGGCUCAACCUCGCUCCGCCGUUGAAACUGGCGUUCUUGAGUGGGCGAGAAGUAUGCGGAAUGCGUGGUGUAGCGGUGAAAUGCAUAGAUAUCACGCAGAACUCCGAUUGCGAAGGCAGCAUACCGGCGCCCAACUGACGCUGAAGCACGAAAGCGUGGGUAUCGAACAGGAUUAGAUACCCGAGUAGUC
rnacentral:rRNA from 1 species